GGGGAUGUAACUCAGUGGUACAGUGCUUGCCUAGCAUGCACAAGGGCCUGGGUUCAAUACCCAGCACCA
rnacentral:tRNA from 1 species